rnacentral:tRNA from 1 species
GCCUUCGUGGUGUAAUGGUCAGCACACUCGACGUGUAUUCGAGUGGUCUGAGGUUCGAGUCCCGGCGGCA